rnacentral:lncRNA from 1 species
AUGGUUCUCCAAUUUUGCAGAUGGAAUUUUAUCCAAUAUUCAGAUGUAUAAUCUGCUUCAAGUAUGUACACAGGGGAAGUAAUAAGAGUACUGUGAAUUCUCAACUGACCAUUUUCUGACACAUUAAAGAAAUAGCAAAGCACUUAUCUCUGAAGUCUCACUUUUUAAAUAUGUUACAAUGAAUUGUGAUCCUGUUUUAUGUAUCUGACUGACAGCACUGGGAAUUAAGUUCCUCAGCCAAUGAAAUAAUAAACCCAAUGCCACGAUAAAACCUACGGUAGAGACUGAUAAGGACUCCAGAUCCAGGCUGCUAAUACUCUUCAAAGUCAUUCAGCUGUGGCUACUACAUGAUGUCUGAGUGUUUCCACAAGGCACUGUUUUGGACAUUGGGAACAUCGAAGUAGAGUGAGCAUCAUCAUGAAUGGAAACACUUUCUCUGAAAAAAGACAUAAAACAAUUGAAAGUCAGCAGUGUCUUUCUUGCAAAAUAUUAUGAAGAUCAGGACAA